rnacentral:pre_miRNA from 1 species
UGGGAUUCUGACUGUGACCUGUGUGUGUCUGAUUCACAUCACAGGCAGAGUUCUAGCU